rnacentral:RNase_MRP_RNA from 1 species
CGGUUCUAUCUAGCUCAACUCUCGUGGUUCCAUACGAGUUAGCAUUAACUCCUCAAUGCUUCACAAGAAGCAUGCCAUGGGAAAAGUCCCCGGGCCUCAGACAGAGAAUGUCAGGACGUGAAGUCCCUCUUGUACGCAGUCAGAAGCCGACUCUCCGGUUUAGACAGGGUGCAAAAUUGCCAGACGUAGUUUAAAGUUAUGUUGAGAAACGCUGGGAUUGGAAGAGAGAGAAUCUUCUCGCUCUUCCUCUCUAUCUCGCUCACACAAUGGGGCUUACUCAGAAAGAACU